rnacentral:rRNA from 1 species
UACAGAGGUCCCAAGCGUUGUUCGGAUUCACUGGGCGUAAAGGGUGCGUAGGCGGUCGGGUAAGUCUGAUGUGAAAUCUCACAGCUUAACUGUGAAACUGCAUUGGAUACUAUCCGGCUAGAGGAAUGGAGGGGAGACUGGAAUACUUGGUGUAGCAGUGAAAUGCGUAGAUAUCAAGUGGAACACCAGUGGCGAAGGCGAGUCUCUGGACAUUUCCUGACGCUGGGGCACGAAAGCCAGGGGAGCAAACGGG